GAAAAAGAAACUUUUAUCUACUUAAGUUUUGUUUUUUUAUAUAUAUAUAGGCCUAUAUAUAAAAAUUCUUUACUUGGUAAGGAAUUUUUAUGGUACAUAGAAAUGUAAAUAAAUUAGAAACAAGGGUCACUGGGUUGGAUUGCGUUUUUGGUACGAGCCAGGGUAUGUGUGUGUGUAUACGUGUGUGCAAACUCUGCCCUGGAUAGUUCGUCGAAUGUCCAGAAGAGGGAACCGCCGAACGAAGUGGAGGAACGAAGAUUGUUAUCUAAGAGAGAGAGAGAGAAUCGUAACAGAAUACACGGGGAAAAAGAAAAAAAAAAAGAAAAAUUAAAGAACUAGUUGGUUCUUAUAAACUACACAGAGAGAAAUAACUAGUACCAUCCUAAUUGCUGCCUUCAACCACUUUAAAAAUACGGUACAAGGAAUGAGCAGAAUGGGACACACGACCCGACGGGUCACGUGGUCAACUCUGCUCCUUCCCCUUACACACACAAGAAAGGUCUGGGUAACGGGAGGGAGAAAUUUCUCAAUUUUGUGGAAACCGGAACCUCGUCCUGGGCGCGUGCUUGUAUCCAGGUGUGUAAUUACAGUAUUUGGAAAACCUAAGGCAAUUUUCUUCCUCCUCUUUAGGCUGUUAUGGAAUCGAAAAUCUUUUAAAGAAAUUAAUGGAAUGUCGGACUGGUGCAAAGUAUACUCGGAAAAAACAAAAUUUUUUUUUUUUUAAAGUACGCCUACGGGCUUACUCUUAUCCUCCCAGCAAUGACAACAACCCGAUGAUCUACUCUGAAUCAAAUGUAAAAACACACACAAACAGCCAAAGCCGUUUAUAAAUAAAUAAAUAAAUAAAUAAGAGUUUUUUAACUUUAAAAAAAAAAAAAAAAAACUUUUUCAUAUUUGAUCAUUUCGAUCGUAUUUGAUAUCCUUUAU
rnacentral:lncRNA from 1 species